rnacentral:lncRNA from 1 species
AGUUAUUCAGGGAUCCAGGCUCACUCCAGCAAGAAUGUGGGACUAUUAUCUUCCCCUGUGCUUCUUGAAGUUGGUGUGACUGUGAUCUGAUUUGGUCGACAUAAUGUGAGAAGUCUGUCACUUCCAAGCAGCAUCAUUUAAUUGCUGCUGCGUGCUUCUCUAUCUUCUCUUCUCUGUUGCAACAAAUCCUGGAGCCUUGUGACGAUCAUAAAAUGGGAACAUCUUUGUUAUCCCAGGUCCUGCACGGUAACUGUGUGAAGCACAGCCCUCACCCCUCUGGCUGGACAUGUUGCGU